rnacentral:tRNA from 1 species
AUUUUGGUGGCCGAGUUUAUUAGGCAGGAGAUUGUAAAUCUUCGUACGGGCCUCUACCCCCAAGGGU